UACAGAGGGUGCGAGCGUUAAUCGGAAUUACUGGGCGUAAAGGGCGCGUAGGUGGUUAAUUAAGUCAGACGUGAAAUCCCCCGGCUUAACCUGGGAACUGCGUCUGAUACUGGAAGGCUUGAGGAUGGGAGAGGGAUGUAGAAUUCCAGGUGUAGCGGUGAAAUGCGUAGAUAUCUGGAGGAAUACCGGUGGCGAAGGCGGCAUCCUGGACCAUUACUGACGCUGAGGCGCGAAAGCUAGGGGAGCAAACGGG
rnacentral:rRNA from 1 species